GAUGAACGCUGGCGGCGUGCCUAACACAUGCAAGUCGAGCGGAAACCAGCAAGCAGCAAUGCGCGGUGGUUUUAGCGGCGGACGGGUGAGUAACACGUGAGCAAUCUGCCUUCUGCAGGGGAAUAACAUUGUGAAACAGUGCUAAUACCGCAUGACAUCCCUUUUGGACAUCCAGAGGGGAUCAAAGGAGCAAUCCGGCAGGAGAUGAGCUCGCGUCCGAUUAGCUAGUUGGCGGGGUAACGGCCCACCAAGGCGACGAUCGGUAGCCGAACUGAGAGGUUGAUCGGCCACAUUGGGACUGAGACACGGCCCAGACUCCUACGGGAGGCUG
rnacentral:rRNA from 1 species